GCUCUGGUGGUCUAGUUGGUUAUGACGCCGCCUUCACACGGCGGAGGUCCCGGGUUCAACUCCCGGCUGGAGUA